GAUGAACGCUGGCGGCGUGCCUAAUACAUGCAAGUCGAGCGAACAGACGAGGAGCUUGCUCCUCUGACGUUAGCGGCGGACGGGUGAGUAACACGUGGAUAACCUACCUAUAAGACUGGGAUAACUUCGGGAAACCGGAGCUAAUACCGGAUAACAUGUUGAACCGCAUGGUUCAACAGUGAAAGACGGUUUUGCUGUCACUUAUAGAUGGAUCCGCGCCGCAUUAGCUAGUUGGUAAGGUAACGGCUUAUCAAGGCAACGAUGCGUAGCCGACCUGAGAGGGUGAUCGGCCACACUGGAACUGAGACACGGUCCAGACUCCUACGGGAGGCAGCAGUAGGGAAUCUUCCGCAAUGGGCGAAAGCCUGACGGAGCAACGCCGCGUGAGUGAAGAAGGUCUUCGGAUCGUAAAACUCUGUUAUUAGGGAAGAACAAAUGUGUAAGUAACUAUGCACGUCUUGACGGUACCUAAUCAGAAAGCCACGGCUAACUACGUG
rnacentral:rRNA from 1 species